UCCUCUUUGACUGUGGGUAAACUUUACAUAUAUCAGAGAAAUUUUCAAAUCCCAUUUUGUCGCUAACAGAGCCUCGAAUAAGAAGAAUUUCAUCUACAUUUUUUAUUUAUUUUUUCACGUAGAAUCGACUACUCCUCCACCAUUGUACCAUCAAUAACAGUGUCUGUACAAUCGUAUAACAAAUUGUUUAUCGGUUGACCGGUUCGAAGUAAAUGAAGUACCGGCGCAACGCGUACAAAGGUACAUACGCACGCAGUCGAAGAACAACAACGGGUCUUUGGCUCGUGUCGUUGCGUCACGACGACGCAUUCUUUCCGGUCGGAAGUUUGCGGCGCGUAGUCGUCGUCGUCGUCGUCGUCGUGUCUGUCAAGCGGUCCGUGACAGCGGCGAAUCAAAGCGCGAUCGGCCGCUAUCCUCUUUUCUUCUUCCUCUCUGUCUUCCUGCCUUUCGUCCACUAGUUUACUUUCAGGGUUAACGCGGCGAAAUAUCGGUGCCGCUUAUGUAAAAUCUCGUACGAGUAACAUUGGCAUUCUAAUAAUAAACACGGCAGUCAGGCCUGGCCCAUGGCAACGUAGAAACGCGUUCAUUACCUACCUGACCGCGUACAACGUCGCAGUCAGAAGAGUAAUUUGCUGCGCGGAGAAGAUCCUCGCCGCGUUAGACGUGCUUACGACCUAAACUAAAAAUACGUACGGGGUCCGAUCAACGGCCAACUGGGCCAGUGAAGUAACCGUAGCUCAACGUCCCAAAUAUAGUCCGACAUCUGUACAUAUAGUCGCGGAGUGCCGAUAGUUGGCAUCCGCGGCAACGUGCAAACAUCACCGACAGUAUAAUAGCGGCUGUCACCACGAUUCCCUAAUGACAUUCCUAUCGUUCGAUCAUCUCCCGCUCGUUCCUCGUUCCCAACGCGGCCAAAUUUCCUACGCGUUCGUCUUCUUCGAGUCGUCGCAGAUUCUGUCAAACCGUUGGUAUAAUUCGUCCUGUGUAUGGACGCGUGUUUUCGCUGCAGCUGAGAGAGGAGAAUCCGUAGGACAAUUUUGAUGGUUUGAUGGUGGGUCGAAUUUUGUCUUCUCUUCAGAUUCUUGCUCCGUUGAUGUAAUUGUUUCUUGUAUACGAUCGUGUGCUUUCGUUGAAAUCGAGAGAGGGAGGUUUGCAGGUUGGAAGAUUUGCGGCCGAGAGAUCCCGGACAAUGGCGAUGGCUUAUUUCGAUGGUUGGGAUGAAGUAGGUUGCUGAAGUACUUUGGGCUGGUUUCGCGGCAAAGUAUUACGUUUGCUUUGGUAGCAAGUCAAAACCUUGAAAUAGUUUUUAGCUCCGCGAAUCGUUCAGUGCAGAAGAUUUUUCUCUUUCUUUCUCUGGCUCGCUUCUUCGUAGAGUUACAAACGUUGAAAGAUCGUGGAGUAAAACUGAUUUUACUUUUGAUCGAUAUUCGUCGUAGCAAAUAUAUGUGUAAGAAGCAAAUGAUAGGCGAGAAAGUAAAUGAUUAUAAUCAAGAGGCGAUGAAUCAACGAGCCGAAGAAUCUGUCACGUUUGAAGAUCUAAAUGCAGACGAUCUAUGGUAAAAAGAUAUUCGAUUAAAUAUCGAUGCUUGUCCAAAAAAAGAUAAAAACGUCAAGUGUAUUAAAUAGAAAUUCGGCGAUCCUUCGCCUCCAAAAUCAACCAGAAAAUCCGAAUGAAAUGCGAAUUCUCCGCUUAGGUUGAAAUCUCUCGGCUUAAGAAGAAGAUUUUUCGAGGAAUCUCGUCGGAACGCGCCGAUGCCAGCAACUUAAUUUUGCGAUUUUCGCGAGCAGCGGAGCAUCCUCGCGCUAGAUCGUUGCCAGAAAACCUACACUAUCGUACGUUUGCUUCAAUUCGAUCUACGACGACACGUGCAACGGUUAUAAAUAAAUGGCACGCGAUUGUUUAUACGUCGAUAGUGACUGACGACAUCGUGAAAGUAGUCGUGGACGUUUGCAUCGGACGUCUGAUUGGAAAUCCGCGACGCGAGCUGUAGAAGCGGAACCGUUUCGUUGCCGCGAGACGUUGAUGGAUCGCGCGAGGGAUGCGACAAAGGGGAAGGAAAUAUCGCUCGCUCUCAAGGAAAAUCCAGUAUAAAUAACGCAUGAAAUUUAUGCACGCAACCCUGUUCCGCGAUAGGAGUUCCCUCCUUUUUCCUUUUUUCCUCUGAGGUCGGAUAGUUCGAAGGACAGCGGUUUCCACGCGAGAUCGGUUCGAGGAAAAAAAGUGUCGCGGAGGUCGAUCGUUCUUUCGAUAUUUUAGGAAAAAUGCUGUUGAGAAGUGUCAUUUUUAUUUUUUUUCAAAGAAAUAUUCGAAAGAAUGUAUAGGAGAAAAGAGAGGAUCGAAAAGAACGAGGAGUAAAAAGAUAAAAAUAACGAUAAAGCGGGGGAAAAAAGAGUAUUGAAAAGACGUUAAUAAAAAAAAAAGUAGAGACUUUUACCUCUACAGAAAAACGUAAAAGAAGAAUUUAAAAAAUGAUGUUUCGAUAUCUGAUUCCAAGCGUCUCCGAACUUGCAUUUCACUUCCACGCAUUUUUAUUUAAGUAACGUUACAAGAUACCUUUCUUUCAAUCGUCUCUAUCGUCUCACGCAACAGGGAAAAAGCGAACGAGCAGAGGGUCUCUGACAUUCUGACGAAUUCCAUAUGACCGACACACGAAGCACAGGAAAAGCAAAACAGAGAAAGGGAAGAAGAAACGAACGAAACCGACGUAACUACGGCUGGCGAGGAGUCAGAGAUUACGUUUAUAGAUGGACAGUACUCGAACUCGUUGUUACACAGAUACGUCGUUACAGACGUUUGUUUUUCGUCCAUAAAUUCUACGGAUCAUCAUCUUCCGCCAAUUUCCAUUCUACUCGACGAUUAAUCUUUCUACUAGGUAAAGGUGAAAGUAGAAAAACCGAUUGUUCCGUGCGCAAUAAAAAAAGCGAGAAAGAAGAGAAGCGUAAAGGUUAAGGGAAAAAGGGAAAUAUAAAAGAAGAGGAAGCAAAAAAGAAAGAAGAGAAAGGAAGGAAAAGGGUCACGGCGAAGCCUGCCUUUCAUUACACGUGUUUACGGCUGAACGAAAGCACCGGGUAUCUAUUUUUACAUCCGGUAAGAAAUCUGUCUGCAAUCAAAUACGCGGCGCCCGGAGAAACCCGUAUCUGUCCUUAAUUCUAUUCAUCGAUCUCUGUCAUUUCACCCUUUUAUCUUCCCGCUCGUUAACAUUUAAUAGCGUUUUAUGAUCGAUAAACUAUCGAAGAUGUGCACGCAUUUCGCGUUUAAUUAUUUUAUACGAUUAGUAGCAACAGCUUUUAUAAAAGUUUGCCUAUAGCUUUUGCACAUUAGCGAGUAUUAGGUUGUCGUAAAAGAAAAAUGUCUUUCUUCGGUAAACGUGCUUUUUACAAGAGUGCAGCUUCGUACAAACGCGAAACCAAGUCUGUGAAAUGUCACGGUGUUUAUCUCGACAGAACGAAAUAGAUCGUACGUAAUUCGCCAAAAUAAUAUAAAACGUUGUGCGUCUGUUAUUUCCUGAUGAAACGAAAGAAACUUUCCGGACAACCUAAUAUUAUUUCCUCUUCUCUCGGUAUGCGGUAAUUCGAAAUAUAAAACACGCGAUACGUGUAAUCCAACGUGCGGCAAACGUGUCGUAAAUAGUCGUACGCGUAUUUUCAAAUUAUCGACCUGUUAAGGGGUUUUAAUACUCUUUUAAUAUCUCGUUCGCUGUAUAGACGAAUCGAAAGUAGUAAAAUUCGAACGGCGCAAAAAUUGCCGCUGGCAAGCGUUCACAGCGCGAGGAUAAACGAACGAAGCGUACGAGACGACGGAGGGCGAAACGGUAGCAAAACGACAGGUUUCGAGCAAAGGCGACGUGGAGGAAACGCAGAAAACUCUCAUCUAUCAUGUCGAAACGUGUUACGCGCGAAAAUAGUCGCAAGGAUACACCGAGGUCGGACUUGGCGAGAGCGUGGACGGGACGCCGGGCGUCAAGGGUGCGCGUGGAUUAUCAAGCGUACGCACCAGCUGCCGCGACAAUCUCGCCAUCCUCGCGUCGGCCGCUUUCGAUCGCGCGGCUUCUUUGGCAUGAUAUUUCAAAAUGUUCAAAAAUGUUUGUCUAGAAAUGUGAAUCGGGAAAUUUCAACUGGAAAGCUCGCAAGUCGAGAUAUUUAAAAACUUUCACGUUCGAAUGGUCGACGACUUGAAAAUUUCGGUCUGCCGCUUGGAAAUGUGGAGGUCUGAUGUUUGGACGUUGGAAAGUUCAAGCAAUUGGAAACCUCGAGUGUUACAAUCGGUUGAAUUUAAUGAAAUUCUUCUGAAAAUUGAAACUGCGUACGACGCUAUAAAGCCGAUAGCUCGCGCAAAGACAAACCAAAAACGUUGCACAAAAUUUGUUCUCACAAGAAGGCCAUGGUACGCUAGGUGCAUGUGCACUUAAGUCCGAUAUAAUUCGUCGAAUGACACGUUAGUUAAUUGUUUUGUUUACUCGCGAACUUUACGAGAUAUAAAAUAACGAUUGUGUUAUUAAUGCAAAUUAUCAGCGAUUUUCUACGAAGAAUAUCCGCUUUAAGAUACGCUACAUCGAUAACCGAGAAUUCGUAUCAACAGAGCUGUUGCAUCUUCUAUUAUUUUUCAUUAUGAUAUCUAUUAUAUUCUAUUAUAAUUAUCCGAUUAAGAAAUCACGCCAAUAUUAAAAAUCUCUAUCUCGUUGAAUCUUGUUCUUAAUCUUCUAUUAAUUCUGUAGAAAGCAAACUGUAAGUUUUACAACCUGUGUUGCGCUUACUAUUCUCAUCAAGGCACUGGAACUAUUCAUAGACAAUUAUGAAAGUUUGUAUAAAUAGCUAGUAAUAUUACAAAUGCGAUAUAAAACAUAUUCAUUGUGACUAUGCGAGUGGAUCCGUGUCGACGCAGCUUCUGACGAGCGUCGUGAAACGGAACAACUGUUGUCACGACUCGAAAAAAGAUCAAAAUGCCAUAAACUCGA